rnacentral:lncRNA from 1 species
CCGGGGAUCAAAGUGAGGCAGUAUGCCAGGGGACCUGUACGUUCAACAAUCUUCAAGGGUCCAAUGAAACAAAGGCUUAGCUUUCCUUUAUGUCCAUAUCGCAAUCCCACAUUGCAUAGAAAGGCCUUGAUAAAAGCGCAAUCAUCAACAGCAAACUCCAAGGGCCAUCUACGGUUGUCUGCAUAAUUUUGCUGACAAUUCUGAGCAGUGAAGAGGUGCCUCCGGAUAACAUCAACCUUCUCG